UACAGAGGGUGCAAGCGUUGUUCGGAUUCACUGGGCGUAAAGGGUGCGUAGGCGGUCGGGUAAGUCUGACGUGAAAUCUCCAAGCCUAACUUGGAAACUGCGUUGGAUACUAUCCGGCUUGAGGAAUGGAGGGGAGACUGGAAUACUUGGUGUAGCAGUGAAAUGCGUAGAUAUCAAGUGGAACACCAGUGGCGAAGGCGAGUCUCUGGACAUUUCCUGACGCUGAGGCACGAAAGCCAGGGGAGCAAACGGG
rnacentral:rRNA from 1 species